rnacentral:tRNA from 10 species
GGCUGCGUAGCAAAAUGGUUAUGCAGCGGCCUGCAAAGCCGUAUAUACCGGUUCGAUUCCGGUCGCAGCCUCCA